rnacentral:lncRNA from 1 species
CUGGGACAUCGGGAGGGGAACAAAGGGGCGAGGUGCUCCCAAAGGUGUAAACUGUGAUCCAGGAGGUGGUGGAAUAGGAUGGCCAUGCGAAUUCAUGGCCAUUGAUGGAGGCAUUGGUGGACGAUUUACCAUGAGAUUUUGCUGACCUAGCAUCUGUGGCAUGGGAGGAGGUGGGGGCCGAACCUGAGGAAUCAUGUUAACCAUAGGAGGUCGAGGUGGAGGCGGAGCAGCAACCCCAGCACCGGUGGAGGUGGAAUACUGGACGGUAUUAGGAGGCCUAGGAAUAUUCAGCGCAAGCCCAGGAGGUGGAGGUAGUGGCCUAACAGAUGGAAAACCAGGUCUGGGAGGUGGAGGAGCCUGCGGACCAG